UGGCGAAAGGGAAUCUGGUUCCUAUUACGGAACCUGGUUGCGGAGCCGCAAACACGAUCCUCGUAUUGACGCGGUAACGCGAAAGACCCCAGAGACGCCGUCUGGAGCCCCGGGAAGAGUUUUCUUUUCUGCCUGAGCGUUCGGGCUCCGUGGAAUCCUCUCGCAGGGAGAUACGGAGUGGAACGCGAAGAGCACCGCAGUUGCUGCGGUGUCCGGGGAGUCCCGUCGGCCCUUGAAAAUCUGGGUGAGGGUCACGUGGAGGAGUCGCACCAGCUCGUACCCAUAUCCGCAGCAGGUCUCCAAGGUCAAGAGCCUCUAGUCGAUAGAU
rnacentral:rRNA from 1 species